UACGUAGGGUGCGAGCGUUUAAUCGGAAUUACUGGGCGUAAAGCGUGCGCAGGCGGUUUUGUAAGCCAGAUGUGAAAGCCCCGGGCUUAACCUGGGAAUGGCAUUUGGGACUGCAAGGCUUGAGUGCGGCAGAGGAGACUGGAAUUCCUGGUGUAGCAGUGAAAUGCGUAGAUAUCAGGAGGAACACCGGUGGCGAAGGCGGGUCUCUGGGCCGAUACUGACGCUGAGGAGCGAAAGCGUGGGGGAGCGAACAGG
rnacentral:rRNA from 1 species